rnacentral:rRNA from 1 species
UGCAAGUCGAGCGAAUGGAUUGAGAGCUUGCUCUCAAGAAGUUAGCGGCGGACGGGUGAGUAACACGUGGGUAACCUGCCCAUAAGACUGGGAUAACUCCGGGAAACCGGGGCUAAUACCGGAUAACAUUUUGAACUGCAUGGUUCGAAAUUGAAAGGCGGCUUCGGCUGUCACUUAUGGAUGGACCCGCGUCGCAUUAGCUAGUUGGUGAGGUAACGGCUCACCAAGGCAACGAUGCGUAGCCGACCUGAGAGGGUGAUCGGCCACACUGGGACUGAGACACGGCCCAGACUCCUACGGGAGGCAGCAGUAGGGAAUCUUCCGCAAUGGACGAAAGUCUGACGGAGCAACGCCGCGUGAGUGAUGAAGGCUUUCGGGUCGUAAAACUCUGUUGUUAGGGAAGAACAAGUGCUAGUUGAAUAAGCUGGCACCUUGACGGUACCUAACCAGAAAGCCACGGCUAACUACGUGCCAGCAGCCGCGGUAAUACGUAGGUGGCAAGCGUUAUCCGGAAUUAUUGGGCGUAAAGCGCGCGCAGGUGGUUUCUUAAGUCUGAUGUGAAAGCCCACGGCUCAACCGUGGAGGGUCAUUGGAAACUGGGAGACUUGAGUGCAGAAGAGGAAAGUGGAAUUCCAUGUGUAGCGGUGAAAUGCGUAGAGAUAUGGAGGAACACCAGUGGCGAAGGCGACUUUCUGGUCUGUAACUGACACUGAGGCGCGAAAGCGUGGGGAGCAAAC